UUUAUGUUUGAUUGGACUUGUUCAAUCACUUUUUCAUCUUUUCCAGCUGCUGGAUGAGGAUCACAUCGAGUUCAUAAGAGAAGCCGUGAAGAAGAUAGGCAUCCCCAAAGUCCUGUCUGCUUUGGAGAUUGAGCUAACCAGGCUAUUGGACAAACAGGGGACCAACUUAUUUGACAUCUUCAACCCAGAGGUGCUUCCUCAGGACGGCUUUGUGGUGAUGCAAAUGGAUUUUGGUUUCCCUCAUCACCUCUUGACGGAUUUCCUUAAAAAGACUCUACAGUGAUUAUGCAACCCGUGAACAAUUUGAGCCCGAUUUGCACAAAGCGUUGCAUUUUGAUUUUGACCAUUUUGUUUAGAUAAAGUAAUACUUCCUUAGCUGUUUAUUAGAAUCAACUUAACAAAAGUGUAAACAAGCCUGUCACUAAUUGUGUCAUGAGUGAAUACUGGUGAUCAUGAUGAGUGCAUGGCACUAAACUUGGAAAAGGAUAAUACAUUUGGAGGUGUUUAUAUUUUAUUGUGUAAAUUCACUCAUUCUAUUGUGUUUGUUUUCUACAAAGAUAACACAAACUAAGCAAAUGUAUAUUACAUGCAGUACUUUAUAUUACCAGAAACUUUAAUUAAUUUUUUGGAAGGAGUUGAGAGCGCGUUUUUGCAGUCAAGGGCGGCUUUUUGUUAUUGUUUCCAAUGUGAACGAAGCCUUUUACAUGCUGCUGUGGCGUGACAAGCAGCUCGCGUUUUUCUACUCUCUGCUUAUCACUUUGAGUUGAAAAAAUUCUGCAUAAAAAUAACGUAAGUAUUUUUUAGUGAGGACUGUGGAUGGUUUUGCUUGAUACCUGUUGCUAUAUGGCUUCAACAACCCUAGUUACCAUCAUCCAAAAGGAAAAUGAGUGCUAUACUUUAGUUUUUGGGCAUGAUUUUUUAUUAAGGUGAUAUAACCAAAGCAAAAACAAUGUUUUUAAUGCUCUGGUACAUUGUAAGAAUUUGGGCUAUUUUGCUUCGAACCAUAUAGGCAUGGUUCGUUCAUCUUUUUUUUACUCUAUUCACCUGUAGUGUCUUGCAAAAUGUAUGGAAUUAAAAAAUAGAUCAAACUAUAAAGUAAGGAG